AUCCGCUUUGAGAUGGCCUCGCGUCCGAUUAGCUAGUUGGUGAGGUAACGGCCCACCAAGGCGACGAUCGGUAGCCGGACUGAGAGGUUGAACGGCCACAUUGGGACUGAGACACGGCCCAGACUCCUACGGGAGGCAGCAGUGGGGAAUAUUGCACAAUGGGGGAAACCCUGAUGCAGCGACGCCGCGUGGAGGAAGAAGGUCUUCGGAUUGUAAACUCCUGUUGUUGGGGAAGAUAAUGACGGUACCCAACAAGGAAGUGACGGCUAACUACGUGCCAGCAGCCGCGGUAAAACGUAGGUCACAAGCGUUGUCCGGAAUUACUGGGUGUAAAGGGAGCGCAGGCGGGAAGACAAGUUGGAAGUGAAAUCCAUGGGCUCAACCCAUGAACUGCUUUCAAAACUGUUUUUCUUGAGUAGUGCAGAGGUAGGCGGAAUUCCCGGUGUAGCGGUGGAAUGCGUAGAUAUCGGGAGGAACACCAGUGGCGAAGGCGGCCUACUGGGCACCAACUGACGCUGAGGCUCGAAAGUGUGGGUAGCAAACAGGAUUAGAUACCCUGGUAGUCCACACCGUAAACGAUGAUUACUAGGUGUUGGAGGAUUGACCCCUUCAGUGCCGCAGUUAACACAAUAAGUAAUCCACCUGGGGAGUACGACCGCAAGGUUGAAACUCAAAGGAAUUGACGGGGGCCCGCACAAGCAGUGGAGUAUGUGGUUUAAUUCGACGCAACGCGAAGAACCUUACCAAGUCUUGACAUCC
rnacentral:rRNA from 1 species